rnacentral:rRNA from 1 species
UCCGUAGGCGGUUUUUUAAGUCAGAGGUGAAAUCCUGCAGCUCAACUGUAGAAUUGCCUUUGAUACUGAAAGACUUGAGUUAUUGUGAAGUGGUUAGAAUGUGUGGUGUAGCGGUGAAAUGCAUAGAUAUCACACAGAAUACCAAUUGCGAAGGCAGAUCACUAACAAUAUACUGACGCUCAGGGACGAAAGCGUGGGUAGCGAACAGGAUUAGAUACCCUGGUAGUCCACGCCGUAAACGAUGGAUACUAGCUGUAUGUCUACUUCAGGUAGAUGUGUGGCUAAGCGAAAGUGAUAAGUAUCCCACCUGGGGAGUACGAUCGCAAGAUUGAAACUCAAAGGAAUUGACGGGGGCCCGCACAAGCGGUGGAGCAUGUGGUUUAAUUCGAUGA